rnacentral:rRNA from 1 species
UACGUAGGGUCCGAGCGUUGCCCGGAAUUAUUGGGCGUAAAGGGCUCGUAGGCGGUUUGUCGCGUCGGGAGUGAAAACAUCGGGCUUAACUCGAUGCUUGCUUUCGAUACGGGCAGACUUGAGGUAUGCAGGGGAGAAUGGAAUUCCUGGUGUAGCGGUGAAAUGCGCAGAUAUCAGGAGGAACACCGGUGGCGAAGGCGGUUCUCUGGGCAUUACCUGACGCUGAGGAGCGAAAGUGUGGGGAGCGAACAGG